GCAGGGUGUUGGGAGGUUU
rnacentral:siRNA from 1 species